CCUACGGGUGGCAGCAGUCGAGAAUCAUUCACAAUGGGGGAAACCCUGAUGGUGCGACGCCGCGUGGGGGAAUGAAGGUCUUCGGAUUUUAAACCCCUGUCAUGUGGGAGCAAAUUAAAAAGAUAGUACCACAAGAGGAAGAGACGGCUAACUCUGUGCCAGCAGCCGGGGUGAUACAGGGGUCUCAAGCGUUGUUCGGAAUCACUGGGCGUAAAGCGUGCGUAGGCUGUUUCGUAAGUCGUGUGUGAAAGGCGCGGGCUCAACCCGCGGACGGCACAUGAUACUGCGAGACUAGAGUAAUGGAGGGGGAACCGGAAUUCUCGGUGUAGCAGUGAAAUGCGUAGAUAUCGAGAGGAACACUCGUGGCGAAGGCGGGUUCCUGGACAUUAACUGACGCUGAGGCACGAAGGCCAGGGGAGCGAAAGGGAUUAGAUACCCCAGUAGUC
rnacentral:rRNA from 1 species